rnacentral:rRNA from 1 species
UACGUAGGGUGCAAGCGUUAAUCGGAAUUACUGGGCGUAAAGCGUGCGCAGGCGGUCGUGCAAGACAGAUGUGAAAUCCCCGGGCUUAACCUGGGAACUGCAUUUGUGACUGCACGGCUGGAGUGCGGCAGAGGGGGAUGGAAUUCCACGUGUAGCAGUGAAAUGCGUAGAGAUGUGGAGGAACACCGAUGGCGAAGGCAGCCUCCUGGGACAACACUGACGCUCAGGCACGAAAGCGUGGGGAGCAAACAGG